AAGCCCAUUAAGAAGCCAUUACUAAAUGCUCUGUCUCUGCUCCUCUUCCACGCCUUAUAGCACAGGCCCGGGGGAAUGCCAGCAACAUGGAGGAGACGGAGAGGAGACGAGCAAAGAGACAGACAGACAGACAGACAGAGAGGAAACACAGGGGGAGGAAAGAUGGAUGGAAGUUUAUCUUAGAGAAUUAACAAGUAGAUUUUUUAUUAAACUUUUGUGUCAGCGACUGUUUCAGAGACAGAAAAGUGACGGAGAGGAGAGACUCUGAACUUACUUUGUACUUCACCAUCAGAACAGACAACUACAUGAGGAAGUUCUGCCUCAGGCUCCAGUGGAUGGAGGUGUCAGAUGAAGUCCCCACAUCCAGACAAAGUUCAGUGCUGGUCUAAAUAAUUUACACUCACAUUUUUAAAUAAGGUACCAAAGUCCUUCAAUAAGUGUCAGAAUAAAGAAGAUGGAACAUUUGUGAAAGAUAUUGAAGUGUAUUUCAGAGCUGAAAAAAUGACUUGACGAACACAAGAUUUAACCGUUCUUAUAAGCAAACCUUAAAAACAAAAAACAAACAAAAAAAACCAAAAAGAAAAAUCACUGGUUGCGGUUUAUCAAUGUUUAUAUUUUGUUUUCUUUAUCUUCUCUGAUUAAAUUAAAUAAAAUUAAAAAUGAAUACAGGAUGAGCACUAAUCACAAUUAUGAUUUUUGUCAGCACGAAACUUGACAACCUGUAUCAUAUCAUAAAGAUAUGACUCUUCUCAUUUGGACCUGAUUAAAAACAAGAUCAUCAUAGAAUUUGAAUGUUUCUAUACUAUUUUGUUAACCUUCAUAGUUGUGUUGACAAAAAAAUUAUUGUCAGAUGUUUCCUGUAAGUGUCCUGUACAUUUGUCACUCUUUUGUUCUGUCCUCCACGCAGGUUUAUACCCCACCAGGAGCCUUUCAGGAGUGAAAUGCCUGCCUGACAUUGCUGACAGGCUCAGACUGUGUUUAUUUUGUAAUUUUUUGUUGAUUUUUGUACCUCUGCUGUGGUUGACUUGGCUUUGCAGUGAAAUGGUUUCACUGUAUGUUUUAAGUGUGUUUAUUGUUAAUAUAUCCAACUAUGUUAUGCUGUGGAACGCGAGUCUGCACGGGGCUUUUUACUUAGAAAAUUUACCGGAUGCUCUAUGCUGUUCCUGUGUCUGACUGACUGUCUGGCCUGACGUGCUCCGUGCAGCUUUAUGCAGCCGAUGUCUGCUUCUGUAAAAAUAGUCUCAGUGCGUAUUCACCACGCAGCAAAGCAGAAAGCUGCUUCUGAAACUUGCCCUGCUGUGGCUGGUGGAGCCACAAGGAUUGUCCAGAAUGGCAGUAAUCAGCUCUGGCCGGCAUGUCGCAACCGUAACCCAACGCAUCUGGGAGCCGCAGAGGAGAAACACUGCUGCCAUCAAUGCAAUCGAGUGUAUUAGGCCAAGAGGAGGUGUGUCACACAAUGAGGACUGCCUCGGAGUACAGACAAGGAAACUUGUCAAAGGUGUUGUUGGUGGUUAACACUGUCUUGAGAAGCUGGAGUGGAGGAGAGGCAAGGCAAAGAGGAAACGAAGAAGAGGGAUGGAGGGAAAUGUUUAAAAAUGGGGGGGAACAGAAGAGAGAAAAAAAAUAAAGAAACAUUUUACUUUUAAUGUUUCCAUACAGUCCAUUUGCGAUUAACUUGGAAGGAUCCUCUUGAGCUAACAAAUCACAGGUCAUUGUGUCUUUUAUUUACAUGAUUUACUUUAAUUGGGGUUGUGCACCUUACCUGCAGGAUCUGCAUCUGGGUACAUGCUGAUUGAUUCUAGUUAAUUAAAGGCUCAAUUUGGAUUAGA